UAUAAUAUUGUUGAAGAGGUCUGAGAUGAAACCGGUCACUGGUCCCAGCUGGCUACUAGUGGAUGCUGGAGCAGCGACUGCAAUGAUCAAGCAAAGAA
rnacentral:lncRNA from 1 species